CAGCUUUCGACGGUAUGGUAUUGGCUUACCGUGGCAGUGACGGUUAACGGGGGAUUAGGGUUCGAUUCCGGAGAGGGAGCCUGAGAAACGGCUACCACAUCUAAGGAAGGCAGCAGGCGCGCAAAUUACCCAAUUCUAACAGUAUAAGAGAGGUAGUGACAAGAAAUAACAGUACAAGGCAGUUAAAAUGCUUUGUAAUUGGAAUGAUAGAAAUUUAAACACUUUUUAAAGUAUCAAUUGGAGGGCAAGUCUGGUGCCAGCAGCCGCGGUAAUUCCAGCUCCAAUAGCGUAUAUUAAAAUUGUUGCAGUUAAAAAGCUCGUAGUUGAAUUUCUGCUAAAAAUAACCGGUGUGCUUUUAUUAAUAAAAGUGGUAUCUUGGUGUGUUUUUAGCAAUAAUGUCCUUAGAAAUGAUUUUUACUUUAUUGUAAGAAGCAAUAUUCAGGAUUUUUACUUUGAGAAAAUUAGAGUGUUUCAAGCAGGCUAAUGUUUUGAAUACUGCAGCAUGGAAUAAUAAAA
rnacentral:rRNA from 1 species